ACUACUGACUUCAAGACUAGCUUUUUUGCAUGUGACGGUGAUCUGGCUGUGACAUCUAUCACCCCAUUAAUCACCAGGGUUGACUCAGCUGAUCUGGCUGGCUAGGCCAGUGUCCCCAUCCUGCCUCACCCCUUCACAUGUGUCCCUCCUCAAGCUGCAAGCUCAAGCUCGUCGAAAAGGGUAUUGGAAUAGUUGCUCUCCUCUGCUAGAACCUUCAAACAAACUCUCAGGACUAGCUCUUUCUACCUCGACAAGGAUGGGGAGGUUACCUUGAGCUGGCUAGAAGAGAAAAACAAGAGCCAAGGUCUGGAAAAGUGGAAGGAGGAGGUGAGGAUACCCCUGGCACAGAACCUGGAGAAAGAGCCCUCCAGGGUAUAGGACCUCAUGGGUGCC
rnacentral:lncRNA from 1 species